CCUGUCCCCUGUUCCAUCUCAGAAUCCCUGUCCCAUCUCAGAAUCCCUGUCCUGUUGAGUGGAUGCCCCAUUCGACAUUCCCUGAUCCCAGAAUUCCAAGGCUAUGUCCCAAAAUGCCAGCCUAUUCCCUAUAUAGUGAACUACUACUGACCAGCGCUCAGAGAAUAGGGUGCCAUUUGGAACACAAGCCAAGGCAUUUCUUCUCAUCCCAGGGUCAGGUCAUUCCGAAACCAGUUUUUAAACUCUCUAUGCCAAACUAAGAAGAAAAACGACUUUAUUUUUUAAAACCAAAGCAAUUUUUAUUGUUACUAUCAGGAGCGCUAGUUACACAAUAUCUAACGUAUUGUUAUGUAGCAGAGUCUAUGAGGUAGAUGGAAUACAAUAUCUAAGGUAUUGUUAUGUACCAGAGUCUAUGAGGUAGAUGGAAUACAAUAUCUAAGGUAUUGUUAUGUACCAGAGUCUAUGAGGUAGAUGGAAUACAAUAUCUAACGUAUUGUUAUGUAGCAUAGUCUAUGAGUUAGAUGGAAUACAAUAUCUAACGUAUUGUUAUGUAGCAUAGUCUAUGAGUUAGAUGGAAUACAAUAUCUAAGGUAUUGUUAUGUACCAGAGUCUAUGAGGUAGAUGGAAUACAAUAUCUAACGUAUUGUUAUGUACCAGAGUCUAUGAGUUAGAUGGAAUACAAUAUCUAAGGUAUUGUUAUGUACCAGAGUCUAUGAGGUAGAUGGAAUACAAUAUCUAAGGUAUUGUUAUGUACCAGAGUCUAUGAGGUAGAUGGAAUACAAUAUCUAAGGUAUUGUUAUGUACCAGAGUCUAUGAGGUAGAAGGAAUACAAUAUCUAACGUAUUGUUAUGUACCAGAGUCUAUGAGUUAGACGGAAUGUAAAAAAAUAUUAGGUCUUCUAAACACACACACAGGCUGGGGAGGAGCGAGAAAAGGCCACGUUAUAUUAACACAAAUAAACAGGAUGUUUACAUAAUCACUAUUAUGUGAGGUAGCAGCGCAAAUCUUCUCAUUUCCACAAGCCAGAGUUGAGAAGUAUAUAGAUGUUAGAUAGCUAAUAUGGAUAUGUGUGUUCAUGUGUGUAUUGGCUGCAUCCUACACGUUUGCUUACAACCCUUAUUGAGUUAUUUUAAAGUGCUUUUUUUUUAAAGUGCUUUAUAUAUAUAGCUUGCCCUUUAAGACUCUAAUCACAUAUAUAGAUGGUACUUUAUUUAUUUAGCUAAAUCAGUCACUGUCUAAAGAACAUGAACAACGUAACACUCUACGCUGAGUUUUGGGAGAUGGAGGGACAUCGUUUCCAUACAGAAUAAACAAAUCCCAACCUACCAGCAUCUCUCGUGAACAAGCGGCAUCGUGGGACACAGGAGGACCAACUGACAAACUAACAGGAAUCAUUCUCCUCCUUCCUCAAGAGCGUUCAACACAAAGGCUUCUGGAUAGUCUGGGCCAUAGUCAUCGGUCAUUGUAGACCCUGUUAGUGCGAACCACACUGGACUUCAUAUCCUAGAGGUGAUAUUGUAUGCUUCUGCCCCACAACAUGUCUACUGUACAGACCAGCACUUUUUGGAUCAACUUCCUCUUGAUUUCCUGUUUAAGUUUCUUAUCUUCACUUCCUGUUUCUGACCGUAAUUAGGAAGUGGGAAGAAUUGAUAAGAUAGAAGUCUUUCUGAUGUCUUGUGGUAGAAUCUCCCACCCAGGACACACCCACGCAUGGAUGUCCACCAAAACACACAGGCCUAUGUCUGAUUAUUGGGUACUGACUGCCACCUGGGUGAACUUUAACCUUUAGCCCCUGAGGUUAUGUGGUCAGGUCACUGUUCUCUCAGCAAUGUAAACCUCAGCAGCGCAGAUAUAUUGUAUUCUCAAGUAUUUUACAUUUUAGUCAUUUAGCAGACGCUCUUAUCCAGAGCGACUUACAGUAGUGAAUACAUACAUUUCGUGCAUUUGUUUUUUUGUACUGGCCCCCCGUGGGAAUCAAACCCACAACCCUGGCGUUGCGCACACCAUGCUGGCGUUGCAAACACCAUGCUCUACCAACUGAGCCACAGGGAAAGUAUCUUCAACAACCAGUAGAUGGCGUCUGAUUGGUUCCUGUUCAACCAGUAGGUGACAUCUGAUUGGUUCCUGUUCAACCAAUAGAUGACAUCUGAUUGGUUCCUGUUCAACCAGUAGGUGACAUCUGAUUGGUUCCUGUUCAACCAAUAGAUGACAUCUGAUUGGUUCCUGUUCAACCAAUAGAUGACAUCUGAUUGGUUCCUGUUCAACCAGUAGGUGACAUCUGAUUGGUUCCUGUUCAACCAGUAGGUGACAUCUGAUUGGUUCCUGUUCAACCAGUAGAUGCCGUCUGAUUGGUUCCUGUUCAACCAGUAGGUGACAUCUGAUUGGUUCCUGCACAAGCUCAAACUCAAAAGUGUAUUGUGAUCUCAUUUGCUGAUAAGGACAUUUCUUCUGGUCAACAGUUUUGCAUAUCGUCAUGUGAUCUGGACACACCGGUCUCUUAUUGGCCAGGACUCCUAUAUUACUUCUUAAAUCAGCCCUCUCUCAUUUCUUAUUGGUUGCUGUUACAUGCACACAAUAAUGUGAUUAUUGUGAAUAGUCAGAUUAAUAUAAUAGUUUGUUUAAAUGUUGUAUGCUUUGCAAGAAGAACAAUUUCCCUAAAAAUCCUGUUUACAUGGACACAUCUGAAAUCAGGCUACCUGAUGGGAUUUUUGAUAAAAGCGGAAAAUUUCCAAUCAAAAUAAUCGUUCUACCACAGUAACCAGGUUAUUUUUGCGAAGCCUAUUUGAUUCUGAGCAUGGAUAAAUAACGUUUUUUCCGUAUUCACUUCACUCAUACAUAAGAGGGAGGCUUGAGCUGCUGGCAGAUCAAAUACACAGCUGGAACGCCGAUUAAGCUGUUUACACGUCCCAAUAAUUUGAAAGUUUGCUUCAGAAAAUCAGCAAAUGCUUACUUUGAUUUUAACCUUACACCGGUUAAGAUAAGCUGAGUAAUGUGUUUACAUGUUUUUUCCGUACUCGGCCUUCUGCCAUAAUGAGUUGAAUAUAGCAUCUGUUCGGGCGAUACUUUUUGGGGCGGCAGGUAGCCUAGUGGUUAGAGUGGAGGGGCGACAGGUAGCCUAGUGGUUAGAGUGGAGGGGCGGCAGGUAGCCUAGUGGUUAGAGUGGAGGGGAGGCAGGUAGCCUAGUGGUUAGAGUGGUGGGGCGGUAGGUAGCCUAGUGGUUAGACCGUUGUUGCCAGUAACUGAAAGGUUGCUGGAUUGAAUCCCUGAGCUGACAAGGUAAAAAUCUGUCGUUCUGCCCCCUGAACAAGGCAGUUAACCCACUGUUCCCCAGUAGGUCGUCAUUGUAAAUAAGAAUUUGUUCUUAACUGACUUGCCUAGUUAAAUAAAAUAAAAAAUUAAAUAUCACAUUAUUUGUGUGCAUGUAAACGUACUCAAUGUUUCUAAUGUUCUAUGCUAGUUGGCUGCAAUGACCAAACUUCCAUAAUGAAAAAUAUUUCAACAAAUUUUGUUAACACUGUUGAUUGACUGAAUUUCAGUUCAGAGUCAAAUUUAUCACAUGCUUUCAUGGCGCCAUUGUACACGCAACAAAUAAUGACAUGAAGGAUUUCUUUAAGCAGUAGCUUUUAUGUUGUGACCACGAGGAAUAUCACUGAGACCAAACAUGUCCAUUUAAGAUGAAGGCUGGCGUAUCGUAAACAAUCUUUAGUGGUUCUGUAGAUACUGGCCAUUGGAACGCUGUGGAGAGAGAUUCUGUAGACUCUGGCCAUUGGAACGCUGUGGAGAGAGAUUCUGUAGACUCUGGCCAUUGGAACCUGCUGUGGAGAG
rnacentral:lncRNA from 1 species